rnacentral:rRNA from 1 species
UACGUAGGGUGCGAGCGUUGUCCGGAAUUAUUGGGCGUAAAGGGCUCGUAGGCGGUUUGUCGCGUCGGGAGUGAAAUCAUCUGGCUUAACUGGGUGCUUGCUUUCGAUACGGGCAGACUAGAGGUAUGCAGGGGAGAACGGAAUUCCUGGUGUAGCGGUGAAAUGCGCAGAUAUCAGGAGGAACACCGGUGGCGAAAGCGGCUCACUGGAUCGAAUCUGACACUGAGGUGCGAAAGCUAGGGUAGCAAACGGG